CUAGUCUAAGGAAUCACAUUACCUCAUGUAGACAACUGGGUGUGUGUGUGCAUCACUUGCCUGAAGAAGAGAUGGCACCAUAGGAAGAGGGCGGCAUGCUCUGAGGAAUCACAUUACAUCAUGUGGAGGGUCGGGUGUGUGUGCAUUACUUACCUGGAGAAGAGAUGGCACCAGGUGUACUAUGGGAAGAAGAUGGUCUGGUCUGAUGGAUCACAUUACAUCAUGUGGAGGGCCGGGUGUGUGUGUCACUUACCAGGGGAAGAGAUGGCAACAGGUGCACUAUGGGAAGAAGGCGUCUGGUCUGAGGGAUCA